rnacentral:rRNA from 1 species
CAAUAGCGUAUAUUAAAGUUGUUGCAGUUAAAAGCUCGUAGUUGGAUUUCUGGGCUGGCCGGACGGUCCACCUCACGGUGAGAACUGGCUGGUCGGCCCUUCCUCUCGAAGUGUUGCGGUGUUCUUAACUGAGUGCUGUGGCAAUUCGGGACCUUUACUUUGAAAAAUUAGAGUGCUCAAAGCAGGCUAUUACGCCUGAAUAUUCGUGCAUGGAAUAAUAGAAUAGGAAGUCGUUUCUAUUUUGUUGGUUUUCGGAAAUCGACUUAAUGAUUAAUAGGGACAGUCGGGGGCAUUUGUAUUCAAACGACAGAGGUGAAAUUCUUGGACCGUUUGAAGACAAACUACUGCGAAAGCAUUUGCCAAGAAUGUUUUCAUUAAUCAAGAACGAAAUGAUAAGGUUCGAAGACGAUUAGAUACC